rnacentral:rRNA from 1 species
AGUAAUGCUUGGGAAUCUAGCUUAUGGAGGGGAUAACUACGGGAAACUGUAGCUAAUACCGCGUAGAAUCGAGAGAUGAAAGUGUGGGACCUUCGGGCCACAUGCCAUAGGAUGAGCCCAAGUGGGAUUAGGUAGUUGGUGAGGUAAAGGCUCACCAAGCCGACGAUCUCUAGCUGGUCUGAGAGGAUGACCAGCCACACUGGGACUGAGACACGGCCCAG